CGCGGAGCAGUCUGGUAGCUCGUCGGGCUCAUAACCCGAAGGUCGCAGGUUCAAAUCCUGUCCCCGCAA
rnacentral:tRNA from 1 species